rnacentral:rRNA from 1 species
AAUAAAGUUUAACCUGCCCAAAUAAAGUUUAACCUGCCCACUGAUAAAUUUAAAUGGCCGCAGUAUAUUUCUUAAUCCAACAUCGAGGUAGCAUAUUCAUUAGUCUUUUAAUUGAAGGCUGGAAUGAAUUGUUGGACGAGAUAUUUACUGUUUGUUACAAAUUUAGUUAUUUUAUUAAUAAAUUUUUUAGUAAAAAAACUAAAAUAAUGUGAAAAAACGAGAAAAACCUAUGAUUUUUAAUAUAAAAUUAAUUUUAAUAUAUUAGAAAUUAAAUUUUAUUAUUUAAAUUAAUAUAUUUAUUGGGGUGAUAUUAAAAUUUAAAAAAAUUUUAAUAUAAAGAACAUUAAUUUAUGAAUUAUUGUUCCAAUUCUAUUGAUUAUUAGAAUAAGUUACUAAGGGGGAUUACAGCGUAAUAUUUUGGAGUGUUCUUUUUCUUUCCACAUUUAUCGCCCUCGACGAUAAUUGAGAAAUUAAUUUAGGUGUAGAAGCUUAAAAAUUAAGCUACCUUUGCACAGUUAAUAAUUUUGAUCAGUGCGGCC